GACGUAGGGCGCAAGCGUUGUCCGGAUUUAUUGGGCGUAAAGAGCUCGUAGGCGGCUUGUUGCGUCGUCCGUGAAAACCUGUGGCUCAACUACAGGCUUGCGGUCGAUACGGGUGGGCUGGAGUUCGGUAGGGGAGACUGGAAUUCCUGGUGUAGCGGUGAAAUGCGCAGAUAUCAGGAGGAACACCGGUGGCGAAGGCGGUUCUCUGGGCAUGUCCUGACGCUGAGGAGCGAAAGUGUGGGGAGCGAACAGG
rnacentral:rRNA from 1 species